rnacentral:lncRNA from 1 species
CGAAAAUAACCCUUUGCUCCCUCGUUGGUUUUGUUGAGGUUGAGGGGUGGGACUGUGUUCCCCUCUGCUCGCUCUCGUUUUUCCUGCCCUUUAACAGCUCGCCCCCAGCCCCAACCCCCAAGGAAGAAAGAGGGAGGUAACGCUGAGGAAGGGUGGAAAGCAGUUCUGCGUCCGUGGGUGGAGCCCGCCCCUUGGCUGACCGCAUGGUGCCCGCACGGUCCCUUCCCUUCCCCCAGCGUCCAGCGCCCGGAGGUUCUGGAUUUGCGCCAUGCUCAGCAGCUGGAGUCACAUCUUCGUUUCCCUGCCCAUUUCCAACAUCUUAGAGUUGAUGCGUCCUUUUUUACUUAAAACAACUACAACCAACCAUGUUCUCAGGGUUGUUUUAAGCAAAAUCAAACAACCCCUCCAAAAAAAGCAAACGAAAAAUUCCGGGUAAAAUCAACUAUGCUGAGACCACGUUUUCGUUGAAGCUGCCCUAAGACCAAUGAAGCUGAGACCGACCUUCAAGGAUUAACGAUUUCUGUAGCUGAAAUGUUCUAAUUUCACUGACGUUUGGUGGAGACGGUGAGAAAAAAUAAAUAUGAAUUUGACUUGGAAAAGCACAAAACAAACGAAAUAAUAAUAUUUAAUUUGAUUAACUGAGAAGGCAAACAGCCACAGUGGUGUAUUCUAGGUACUGGUGUCUUUGGUGAGUUUGUAAUUAUAUAAAUAAAUUGCUGUUGGUUUCAUCAAAAAUACAGAUCAGAACUCUGGCCGUGACAAAAAAGGAAGGAAGUAUAAAUUUGUUUGGUAUAUCUAAUUUUAUAACAGACUUUACCAACCUUUCAUUAUCUGGAGAAAAGGAAAUGUACCAGUUAACAAUAUAAGUUAAUUUGUUUGCAGAUAAUUGUUCAUUUUUUGUCUUGACAAAAUACUCUGUUUGGUUAAAAACGGUAAAAUGAUAAUUCAGUAAAUAUUUAAAACUUUGAGAGAAUUGGUUUAAA